AGACUCCGAGGCAAUUCACGCGGCAGUUAUUUCUGGUCUGGAGAAAAUAAAAGGCAGCGGCAAAAAAUUAUUUGGUAAAACUGGGGUAGAGGAUUCCAAUGAGGAUUCUGACGAUGAGAGCGAGAGUUCGGAUUCUGACUAUGACUCUGAAAUAGAGAGGGCAAUUGCUCAGAGCAAAAAGUUUGGGAAGAAGAUUGUUGAUAAAGUGAAGUCUUCUAGAAAGAAAAAUGAUGAUUCUGAUGAUGACGAAUCUGAUUAUGAAAGGAGAAAGAAUAAGGUUGGAUCAAAGAGGAGCAGCAGUAAAAGGAUUUACCGUGAUUCUGAUGAAGAUGUUAAGGAUAAUCUGAAGAGGAGAGAGAAGAGGAGGAGAGAUGAAUCGUCUGAUGAGGAUGAUGAUAAUCAACGACAACGUAGAAAGAGUAAGAAGGAAAAGAGGAGGAGAGGGCGAAGUCACACGUCUGAUGAUGAUGAUGAUAAUCAACGACAACGUAGAAAGAGUAAGAAGGAAAAGAGGAGAAGGCGAAGUCACAAGCAUUCAGAUGAUUCAGAUGGAUCUGAGGAACACACUAGAAUGCGUAAGCGGAGGAGCAGGAGAGAAAGAUCCGUUUCUAGUCCUGACGUUAGCAGCUCAGAUGAUUCUGAUUUAGGAGGUAGAAUCGGCAAAAAACAAUCUGGGAAGAGGAGCAGGAAGCACAGCCACAAACGAGAUUAGUUAUUCUCCAGGGGUGAGAAAUUAGACACUAAAUUCCUAUUGUUGUGCUUUUCUGUAAUCUGUUACUGUUAAUUAAAAUUUUGACCGGGUUUUAUGAUAUUGCUUGAUUUGUAUAACCUGCGUUUCAAAUCUUCUACUUGGCUCUAUCUUCCCCUUCUUUGGAGUGAUCUGCUGUUAGUCAGCUGGGAUUUUUCACUGUAUGCAAUAUUGCCAUUAUGAUGUCAUCUAUGCAUGAACUGGUUAUGCGAAGUAUAUUAAUUAUUGUCUUGUUAUUUUUAUUUUAAUUGAAAGGCCCUUUUACAUCUUUGCUUGUAUUCAGAUGUCUUUGUUGCUCUGUUUUUUAUUGAUCAUAAUAUGUAUGUGCUAAACUGUACACCACAGUAGUGAUAUGUGUGUUAUGUUUAUAUCUGUACUCUACGCAUAUGAAUUUAUAUUUAUAAAUGUUAAGUUUCAUGUGCAUUUUCUAAUUAUUGUGAUCAUAUACAUAUUUGGGUGUUAAUGUUGUAAUCAUUGUUUAUUUUGGCUAUUCUCUGUUUUUGUGACUUGUUAAAUUCUGUGUUACAUGGUCGUAUGGUUUUUUGAUAUGGUAGUCUAAUAGUCUUCAUUUGUGUACAUGCGUUGUGUUAAUAAUUACUCAUGCUCUGUUGCGUUCAAUAUAUUAUUAUGUUUCUUUUUCGUAAUUUGUUGCAAUGUUGGACCUGUGAAAUUGGAUUUGAAUGGAGGGAAUCGAGAUUGGGCAGUCUGCCCUUCUGAUUUGUCUCUUCUGUCAAAUAGUGUCUGCCUUAACCUUUCCUUGCCCAAUGUACGCAUUAUCAGUCUUGUUUAGGGCUGAGCACCGGUCCGGGAGAUUCCCGUACUGUACCAAAUAACCGAAUCGAAAGUUCCGAAAAAUUGAAAUCCGGUUGACUUCUGACUAUAUCUGUAUUGAACUGUACCGAAUUUUAAAAUCUGGGAUGGUUCUGGUUUAUAUAUAAGAACUGUACCGAGAAUUGUACCGAACUGUAUUGAACUGUACCGAACCGAAUAACUGAAAAUUAUAUAUUAUGACAUAGUUUGAUAUACAUACUGUUUUCUUUUUAUUUUUGUGUUUAAUAACUAAUAUCAAAUUUCACAAAUAUGACGUAAUAGCACAAUAUUUGUGAUUUUAAUCACUUUUGUGAUAUAAUAUAUAUCAUGCAAUUGAAAUUCAUAUAUCAAUGAACUAAUUGAAAAUCAUAUCACUUUUUUUAUUAUUUGUUUUGCUUGAACUAAUUUUCUAUUUUGCUUCUUUAUUUACCAGGUAUAACUUGAAAAUUUAUUGUAUAGAUUUAUCACUUUUUAUAUAUUUUAUUUUUUUAUGUAUUUUAUUAAGAGUACUGAAUAUCUGAAACCGUCCCAUCUUGUCCCGAAAAUUUGGAACAAUACAAUACGGAUAUAUAUAAUAAUGGUACAAUUUUGGUUCUCAACAUUUUGAAUAUCCGAAAAUUGGGAUGGUUCUGGAGAUCUCGGGAACCCCGGCUUUACCCGUACCGUACUCACCCUUAGUCUUGUUAAUGUACAUCAUGUUUUAUGACAAUGAUGUACCAUGUAUAGAAUUGGUUCCAUCCAUGUUUCAUUUACAUAUUCUUUGUCUCUCUUUUUCUCUUAACUAUAAUUGAUAAAUUAUGAUGCAGGUUAUUUACUGCACAAGUUUGAGCUGGAGUGCUGAUGGAAGCACCUUGUUCAGUGGAUACACAGAUGGUGUUGUCAGGGUCUGGGGCAUUGGACGUUACUAGAUGAGCAUAUGUAGUGAGCAGUUACCAGUUUUACUCAAUUAUCUUUAUAAUCAAUCUAGGACGUGUGGACUGAAAGUUGAUCUCUAUCUAGUCUACUUAUUUGUGUUUUCAUCUGUUUUCAGUUUUGGAUAAUUUUAUGGUGUAUGGUUUUUCGACUUUUACAGUACUUUUGUUUUACCCUUAUGAUUUAUACUAUUGGUUGGUUAAGUUUAUUAUUAUUUUAUUUUUAUUAUGCAAAUUUUCACACCACUGGAGUCCUUGUACAAGGGUAAUAGAUAUGAAGGUAAAGCUUUGGUUUGUUUUUGCAUUGAUGAAAUAGUUCAACUCUGCAGGAGUAUACAACUAUUGUGAAUAAAUUUGCGGAUAGAUUUCUGUGCUGAUUACAUGUUUAUCAGUCUCAUAUGUGAAGAUGAUAAAUAAGUGUACAGCAUAGGUUGUGUGAUUUUAUUUUCAGAGAACUGGAGCUUAUGAUAUUGGAGUAUGUGUUCAACUCGUCUUAGUUGCGCAAUGUUUGCAAGAAGAUAAAUGUUUGCAAGAAGAUAAAUUUCUUAAGGUCCUAGAACAGACGUAAUUGAACCAGGAAAUAUUAAAAACCUAGUUUGGCUGAGAGAGCAAGCGGCUGUGCAUACUCUGGCUCCCUUCUUACUACAUGAACUAGAAGCUGCUGCAUAAUUUAUCCUGCAGAGAGAACAAAUACUUAGCUUUUUCCAAACAUACAGGCUAGUAAAAUCAGUCCCGACAGUGGAUCAGAAACAACUGUUAUCAAAACAAGACUAAUAAUCCCUGGAUCAUAAAACAGAGUACUCUGUUCUGAACAUAAACUUGCACUCCAAGCAGUAUGCUGGUGAAGUAUUGGCUCAUAUUCCACAUAAGAACCAUCGUCACCUAGUUGCGCAAUGUUUGCAAGAAGAUAAAUUUCUUAAGGUCCUAGAACAGACGUAAUUGAACCAGGAAAUAUUAAAAACCUAGAAUUUACCCUGCAGAGAGAACAAAUACUUAGCUUUUUCCAAACAUACAGGCUAGUAAAAUCAGUCCCGACAGUGGACCAGAAACAACUGUUAUCAAAACAAGACUAAUAAUCCCUGGAUCAUAAAACAGAGUACUCUUCCAAGCAGUAUGCUAGUGAAGUAUUGGCUCAUAUUCCACAUAAGAACCAUCGUCACCCAACCCUUGCAAAAAGAAACCAAACAGAGGUUGGAAUUCCCUGUGACCAAACAGAGGUUGGAAUUUCGAAAAGCAGGUGAGAUUCGAACCGAUGAUUCUUUGAAACUCUUUGGAUCAUAGCAAUGCCCUGUUCUCAUCGGAUCAACUCUCCACUUUGCCAUAAGGUUAUUCAAUAUCAUCUUUACAAAUAUCGGAUCAACUCUCCACUUUGCCAUAAGGUUAUUCAAUAUCAUCUUUACAAAUAUCGGAUCAACUCUCCACUUUGCCAUAAGGUUAUUCAAUAUCAUCUUUACAAAUUUUUAAUGUAAAAAUUAUUACUCAAGAUUGAUAUGAGUAAUACAAUUGAUUUUUUAUUAUUUUUUUAUACACUUUGUUCAUGAUAAUUUAUAAUAAAACAGUGUUUAUUUCUUAAAAAAAUAAAAUAAAAAUAAAACAGUGUUUAUACAAUUUAUAUGAAUAAAUUUUGUGUUUAUAAUUAUGAGUUGCCUUCAAUUAUAAAAAAAAUUGUUAUUUUCCUAACAUAUGUUUAUGAGUAAUUUUAAUGGUUAGUAUUUUUGAUUAUUUCGAUAUAAAUUAUUAUUAAUAAGAAGUUCGUAUUUAUGGUGAAUGGCAUUUUUUAUAUUUAUGAAAAAUUGAGUCUAUAUAUUAUAAAUAUAUAAAAAAGGACAUGUCCAUUAUAAAUAUGAUUUUUUUUGUUAAAUAUUUUACUUUCCAUGUAUAAAAAUUUACAUUAUAACUUGAUGAUAAUAUUAGUAUUAUGAAAGUAAUAUUUUAUACAAAUAUUUUAUAAAAGUCAUUCUAAUAAAUCAUAAAUUAGAUAGCUCUUAUAGUGUAAUUGUUAAUUAUAGAUAUUAUAAUUAUAUAUUAUAUAUAAUUGGUUAAAAUUUGAAUAUUUUAUGAUAUUGAUAUUUAAUUGUAUAUAGUUGAUGACAAACUCAAUUAUAUAUGGAGAUUUUAUUAAUAUAAAAUAAAAAAAUAAAUAUAAUAAAUUCAUAUAAUAUAAUUGUAUAUCAGUUUCACACUUAUAUCAUCAAAUAUAAAUAGUUCUGUUAGAAUUUUUUUAAAUGCAUUUACUUCUUCUCACCCUUUAAUUUUUUUUAAUUUUUUUAUAUUGUUCGACAUGUAUGUUAAGGCAUAUAUAAAUCAUAAUUUCAUAAUUUAUUUUCAACGUUUUAUUUUAUGUAUAAAUUCAACAUUAGACUUUUAUUCAGAAAAAAAAUUCAAAUAAUUUAUCAAAUUAUAUUUAUGAUAAUAUUAAGAUGCGUGAUUUCCAAUUAUCAUUAAGAUAUAUUAUAGUAGCUUAGAAUGAAAAUCACUCUGUUUUAUUUUAGGGUUCCGAGGAUGAACCGUAAUAAUAAAUAAAUCAUCCAGCUAAAUAUAUUUAAUUAUAUUUGAGGUCAAAUCGAAUAAAUAUUGUGGAAGAGGGAGUAACUAGAAAUAAAAAGAAAAAUACGACGACAAAAUACUAAAUAUAUGGACACGCUCUUGUUCUUAUUCUCGGUGAAUCAGAGGUCAAUAAACAAAAAAUUGGUCUUGUUCCUACCAUCUUAUUCUCGGCGAGCGAAUCAUCCCUUUCUCCUCUCUUCGAUUUUAAGCUGUAAGUUCUUACCCCAUCUCUUCAUUCCAUUCCGUUUAUGGACAUGUAAUCGUAUUAGGGUUUAUGAUAUAAUUUCGGUAUUCUUGAUCUGGGCUAAAUUGAGAACAUGAUCCGAUCUAAAUAGUCUUAUAUGUUUCUUUCUCGAUUCUUGACUUGAUUUGUAGCCAUACCACACGGUGGUUUUUGUAUUAAAUGUUUUUAUAUAUGUGAAUAUUUAUGUGGUAUCUCAUGAUUGUCUUUGAGUCUUUUUAGUGUAGUUUUGAAUUGUUUAGCUGUUCUUGUUUUGUUAUGCUUUAAUAUGUAUGUUACCACUCUUCACAUGGAUAGGCUUCAAGUUGUCAUGUUCUUCACAAUUAGGGUUUGUAAAUUAACAGGUCGUGUUCGUGUUAGCAAUCGGGUCGAUUUCGGGUCAAGUUAAAAUCACUUAGUUGAAUAAAACUGCAAAUUGAAGUUAAUAGAAAUAAAAUUCUAAUUUCGGGUCAUUUCGGGUCAAUCGGGUGAUUUUCGGGUUUUGUCCCAGUAAAUCGGGUUGCGGGUUGGGUCGUGUUCGGGUCAGGUUUCGGGUUUUGUCUCAGUAACAUGAAAUGAAAGUGCAGACAAAAUAAAAGCAGGAAGAAAUGACAAAAAUUUUAUUUUCAUUCUCAUUGAUAAUCAUAGACUAAAGAAGAAAAUACAUUAUAUAGGAAGUAACACUCCAGAGACUACAUUAUUGGCCAAUUCAAAACAUAUAACCCAACACUAUGCUUGACCCACAUAUAAUAUCUGGCCCAACAGUAUUUUUAGCUCAAAUCGUGACAAAAGUGUUGGUCUAUGACAGUUAUAUGCAAAUUUUACAUGUUUUUGGCGUGAAAUAAGUGUUUGGUACUCGAGGCAAGCUGAAGAGUCGGGGUAAAUUACAUGUGUUUAAUUGCGUCUUUAACAUGCGAAACUUGGGGAUUUGGUGUGUAUACACUAAAACAUAAAUCAGUGCUUGUGGUACUUGCUGUAUAUGUGUGCGUACUUGUGUAAAUUUGUUUCUGGAUAAAAUGAAUUCAUUGAAAUUUCAUGUGAUCAUCCUAUAAGUGCCACUGUGUCUAUAUCUGGCCAAUAUUUUUUUGCCAUGCUUGAUUAUUUCAGUAUGUUCAAUUAUCACUGAAACCGUCUUUUAGUUUAUUUGAAUAUGUUAAUUUUAUUAUUCCCAAGAUUAGUUGUGCAAUAUUGCUUAUGAUGUACCUGUAUUUAUAUGUUUAAGUAAAUGGAAAAAAUGUUGGCUGAUAGGCCCCCCAUAAGAACUCCCUACUGUAUGUUCAACAUAUUGCAAUAUUCACCGUUGAUCAAGUUUAAAAAUAUUUUUGUCUAAAGCAACAACUAAUCGAUGAUAUUGUUAUUUAGAUCGAAGUGAUGUUGAAUUCUUAUAAUCUGCUCAUUUUGAUUUGUAUUUCAGAGGUCGGCAGGGUCGUAUCUUAAUAGAUAUCUCUUGAUUUUGGUCGUAUGAAUUCUGGUUAUUGAUUUUUUUUACCCCCUUGUUUUGUCAUUUCAUAAAAUAACUAUAUUGUUCGAGUUUUGCUAUUUGAUCAAGUUAAUUAUGCUGGUGAGUAUCAUUCUAACAUGUUGAGUUGCAUGAUAUAAUACUCCUUCCAUCCUUCUCAUUUCUUUAUCGUUUUCUCCCACUGUUCACACAUUUUAAGGUGUAUAUAAAGUAUAGUUUCAUAACUUAUUUUUGAGAUUUUCUUUUCUGUAUACAAAUUUACACCUUAUACUUUUAUUCAGAGAAAAAAAGGUUAUAAAAUAAUUUAUGGAGCUAUACUUAUCUGAGCCUAAAAAUCCGUGCCGAACCCUCCGUCUCCAAUGUAAAGAAUCUAGGGGGACGAAGGGAGUAUCUUUUUUGUGGAAUCAUGAACCAAUGCUCUGAUUGGUAUAAGGAAUGGAAUGAAAACUUGUAGGGAAGAAAUAAUGUAAGAAUGAAGACUUUAAAAAAUAAACACCAAAUUUUCAUGAUGAGGGAUGUCAUGAAAAUGAAUAAAAUCAAGAAUCAGGCAUUUUACGGAAGUUUGUGGAGACUAGGCCAUGGUAUAAGUUUGUUUGAGUGGAAUGGAGGAAAGAAUUAAUUUACCAAUAUUCACCCCUAGAAUAGUACACAUUUAGUUACAUUUCCACCUAAUUUCGUUGCUUCCAACCAAAUGGAGCUUAGUUUUACAUUUUCGGAAUAUUUUAUGACUAAUUUUGUAAAAUACUGACUACCACUUUGAUGUGCAGGCUUACAAUUUUCUCAAGAUGCCAGCUACAGCAGGCAGGGUUCGAAUGCCCGCAAACAACAGGGUACACAGUAGUGCUGCCCUGCAAACACACGGUAUUUGGCAGAGUGCUAUAGGGUAUGACCCCUAUGCACCAAAUAAAGAAGAUAACAAAAAGUCUUCUCAGCCUAAAGCUUCUGAUGCUGCUGCUGAACCUGCGGGUGAAAAUGCUUAUGCAAGCUUCCAGGGAUUGCUUGCACUUGCCCGUGUAACUAGCAAUAAUGUAGAUGAGUCUCGUGGAGCACGUAAGAUGUGUGGACGUGUGGGUCAUCUUACAUUUCAGUGUAGAAAUUUCUUGAGUAUCAAGGAUGAAAGUAAUGAUAAAGACUCUGAGGCAAUUCAGGCGGCAGUUAUUUCUGGACUGGAGAAAAUAAAAGGCAGCGGCAGAAAGUUAUUUGGUAAAAGUGGGGUAGAAGAUUCCAAUGAGGAUUCUGACGAUGAGAGCGAGAGUUCAGAUUCUGACUAUGAUUCUGAAAUAGAGAGGGCAAUUGCUCAGAGCAAAAAGUUUGGGAAGAAGAUUGUUGAUAAAGUGAAGUCUUCUAGAAAGAAAAAUGAUGAUUCUGAUGAUGACGAAUCUGAUUAUGAAAGGAGAAAGAAUAAGGUUGGAUCAAAGAGGAGCAGCAGUAAAAGAAUUUACAGUGAUUCUGAUGAAGAUGAUAAGGAUAAUCGGAAGAGGAGAGAAAAGAGGAGGAGAGAUGAAUCGUCUGAUG
rnacentral:lncRNA from 1 species